rnacentral:rRNA from 1 species
GACAGAGGGUGCAAACGUUGUUCGGAAUUACUGGGCGUAAAGCGUGCGCAGGCGGUUUUGUAAGCCAGAUGUGAAAUCCCCGGGCUCAACCUGGGAAUGGCAUUUGGGACUGCAAGGCUGGAGUACGGCAGAGGAGACUGGAAUUCCUGGUGUAGCAGUGAAAUGCGUAGAUAUCAGGAGGAAUACCGAUGGCGAAGGCAGGUCUCUGGGCUGAUACUGACGCUCAUGCACGAAAGCGUGGGGAGCAAACAGG